UAUGGCUGCAACACCCUGAAUGCACCAGAUCUCAUCUGAUCUCAGAAGCUAAGCAGGGUCGGGUAACAUUAGUAUUUGGAUGGGAGAAAGUCACUUGUAGUCUGAC
rnacentral:rRNA from 1 species